rnacentral:tRNA from 2 species
GCUCGGGUGGUGGAAUUGGUAGACACAUCAGACUUAAAAUCUGAAGACCGUCAGGUCGUGCGGGUUCGAUUCCCGCCCCGAGCACCA